UGCCGGGUUCAAACCCUUGCAGGCGCCGAGCUUUCUUGUUUGUUGAGGGCGGAGCUAAUGGCCGGGAAGUGUUGUUAGCGCGCGCCUUCCGGAUCGCGGCGCUCGCGGCCGUAGCCUUCGACUUUGGGGUAUUGCUUGGCCGCCGCCUGGUAGUCUGGCGGUUCAUUUGUUGCUUGGCCUCCUGGAGUUGUGGUCCGUGUGGGGUUCCACCUCAGACCCCCGCGCUGGCUCAGCCGGGCCGGAACAUGGCUGCGUCGGGUCUGGAUCAUCUCAAAAAUGGCUACAGAAGAAGAUUUUGUCGACCUUCCAGGGCACGUGACAUUAACACACAGCAAGGCCAGAAUGUUCUGGAAAUCUUACAAGACUGUUUUGAAGAACAAAGUCUUGCCAAUGAUUUUAGUACAAAUUCUACAAAAUCAGUGCUUUAUUCCACACACAAAAUAAAAGACACGUGUAUUCAGUCACGAAGCAAAGAGUGCCAGAAAUCACAUCCAAAGUCAGUUCCAGUUUCUUCAAGGAAGAAAGAAGCCUCUCUGCAGGUUGUUGUAGAACCAAGUGAAGCCACCAACAGAUCAGUUCAGGCCCAUGAAGUUCGUCAGAAAAUUCUGGCAACUGAUGUUAGUUCCAAAAAUACGUCUGACUCGAAAAAAAUGUCAAGUAGAAACAUAAAUGAUUAUCACAGUGAUGCUGGUGAAGAAUUUUACUUAUCUGUUGGCUCACCUUCUGUUCUUUUGGAUGCAAAAACAUCUGUAUCGCAAAAUGUUAUUCCAUCUAGUGCCCAAAAGAGAGAGAUUUACACUUUUGAAAAUUCAGUAAAUAUGCUGCCUUCAAGUACAGAGGUUUCACUUAAAACCAAAAAAAGGUUAAACUUUGAAGAUAAAGUUAUGUUAAAGAAAAUAGAAAUAGAUAAUAAAGUAUCAGAUGAAGAGUGUAAAACAUCAGAAGGACAAGAAAGAAAACCAUCAGGAUCAUCUCAGAAUAUAACACGAGAUUCAGAAUAUGAAAUUCAACGAAAAGCUAAAAAAAGUUUUUCAACAUUGUUUUUAGAAACAGUAAAACGAAAAAGUAAAUCCAGUCCCGUUGUUAGGCAUGCGGCAACUGCUCCACCUCAUUCGUGUCCUCCCGAUGAUAAGAAGGUGAUAGAGGAUGAAUUUAUAAUUGAUGAAUCAGAUCAAAGUUUUGCCAGUAGAUCUUGGAUUACAAUACCAAGAAAGGCAAGGCCUCUGAAACAAUGCCCGAUAUCUCCAGCUGAGAGCACUGCACUGCUUCAAAAUAGAAAGUCAAGAGAAAGGCGUCAUAAUAUAUUACCUAAGACUUUGGCAAAUGGCAAACAUUCUCAUGAACCUCACCCAGUAGAAGCAUCUCAGUCCUCUGAUAAAACAGUACUGGAUACAAGUUAUGCUUUGACAGGUGAAACGGAAAAUGAUUGUAGAUCUAUAAAAUAUGAAAUGUGUUCCAAGGAUGCAGAAAAAUCAUCUAGAAGCAAAAGGACUGUAAAACAGAAACAGAGAAGAAAAUUUAAGGCUAAACCAGCUGAAGAACAGCUUGAUGUGGGACAGUCUAAAGAUGAAAACAUACGUAUGUCACAUAGUACCCAAGACAAAUUUCAAAGAAAUACAGACAGAAAUAUGGAAGAGCGUGAAGAGAUAGGAAAUGAUUGUGUUUCCAAAAAACAGAUGUCACCUGUGGGAAGCAAGAAAAUUAGCGCUAGAAAAGAUAAGGGAGAAGCUAAAAAGAAGCACUUUUCCAGUGAGUCCAAGAACAAACUUGUGCCUGAAGAAGUGAUUUCAACUGUCACGAGAAGUCGAAGAAUUUCCAAGCGUCCAUCUGAUUGGUGGGUGGUAAAAUCAGAGGAGAGUCCUGUUUAUAGCAAUUCUUCAAUAAGGAAUGAAUUACCAGUGCUUCGCAACAGUAGACAAAAAUCUGCUAAGAAAACAAAUCAGUCAUCUAAGAAUAUUGGAGAAAAAACUAUUCCACUUAAAAGGCAGAAGACAACAACUAAAGGCAACCAAAGAGUACAGAAGUUUUUAAAUGCUAAAGGUUCUAGAGGUACCAUUGGUCAUGAUGAAAUUUCCAGUUGUUUGCUGAGUGAGCCACUGGAAAGUGAUGAGGAAGACUUGGCUAAGAAGAAAAAUCUUGAUUUUUCUAGAUCUACAAUAAGCUCAAACAAUGAAGAUAAUGUUAUGACUGCACAGCAUGUUCCCCUAAAGCCUCAGAAGAGUGGAUAUACAUAUAACACACCAACAGAAUCAAGCUUGGAUUCUGGAGAGCGUAAGACUUUAGUUUUAGAGGAAAGUGGACCUUCCAGGCUCAGUAAUAAUUAUUUGAUGUCUGGAAAGAAUAAUAAUGAUGUGGAUGAGGAGGAAGUUCAUGGAAGUUCAGAUAACUCAAAACGAUCUAAAGUGAUACCAAAGAACAGAAUCCAUCACAAACUAGUGUUGCCCUCCAACACACCAAAUGUUCGCAGGACCAAGAGAACACGUUUGAAACCUUUGGAGUACUGGCGAGGAGAGCGAAUAGAUUAUCAAGGAAGGCCAUCAGGAGGAUUCGUGAUUGGUGGAAUACUGUCUCCAGACACAGUGUCAUCUAAAAGGAAGGCAAAAGAAAAUAAUGGAAAAGUCGACAAAAAAUCUAAUAAGAAAAGGAUCUGUCUUGAUAACGAUGAAAGAAGUAUGAACUUAUUUCUGAAAGUAACUUUUAGAUUUUAUUUUAAAUAGGAGUACUUUGAGAAGAAGCUCUUUGCAAAAUAUGAAAUUUACUUCCAAAAACUUCAGAAAUAAUACCAUAGAGACUAGCUUAAUGGUAAAUCUAGGUGUACCUCUUGGAGAUCCUUUGCAGCCAACGAGGGUAAAGGACCCAGAAACAAGAGAGAUUAUUCUCAUGGAUCUUGUAAGGCCACAAGAUACAUAUCAAUUUUUUGUUAAGCAUGGUGAGUUGAAAGUAUAUAAGACAUUGGACACACCCUUUUUUUCUACUGGGAAAUUGAUAUUAGGACCACAAGAAGAAAAGGGAAAGCAGCAUGUUGGCCAAGAUAUAUUGGUUUUUUAUGUUAACUUUGGUGACCUUUUGUGUACUUUACACGAAACACCUUAUAUAAUAAGUACUGGGGAUUCGUUCUAUGUUCCUUCAGGUAACUAUUAUAACAUCAAAAAUCUCCUGAAUGAGGAAAGUGUUCUUCUUUUUACUCAGAUAAAAAGAUGAAAGAUCAACCAAGCUUAAAUAUGUGUGUAUAUAUAUGUAUAUGUGAAAACCAGUUUGUAUAGUUGGGACAUUUGUCUUUGUAAUUACUUGUGAUGUUUUAAAAUAAAAAUUUUAUUCAUUUUUGUGUAGACUUGUAUUUGAUAAACAUUUCUAACUCCCAUGUUUUUUCCGAUUUUUCAGUGACUAUACAUAAUAGCUUAUAGCGAUGCCCAUGUUUAUGGUAUUAUUUUUAUAAUUUGACAAGAAUACAAAAAUGAAAUAUAGAGCAUUUCUGUAUCAAAAGAGACCGAUUAAUAUGUCUAUUCAUUAAAAAACAUAUUUUCCAAAUAUGAAUUUUAAAUCAUUAAUUAUUAAAUAAUCCAAUGGGAGAAAACUGUGGUAAAUGACAUAUUUGUGUUAAUUUCCUAAAACUGCUGUAACAAAGUACCACAAAAUGAGUGAUUUAAAGCAACAGAAAUUUAUUAUCUCAGUUCUAGAGGCUAGAAGCCUGAAAUCAAGGUGUUGUCAGGGCUGUGAUGUGUUUGAAAACCUGUAAGGGAGAAUCCUUCCUUAUUCCUAACUUCUGUUGGUUUACUGGCAAUUUCUGGCAUUCCUUAACUUGCACUGGUAGCAUUUCAGUCUACUUGCAUUAUCACAUGGUAUUCUCACCUUCUGUGUCUGUGUUCGCAUGACAUCUCUUUAGUAUAUUACAUGUAAAUGUUUUUCCAUCAUGCUUUUUGGUUCAUAUUUUCUGUUGGAGGCAGUGUCUUUUGUCAUUGCUUUCUGUAUGUGGCCUCAACUUUCCCUCAAUAAAUAAACCUAAGCUAAAAAUUCUAUUCAAUAUUUUUGGUAUGGUUAGCAUAUAAUUAUCAUUAACUCUGGUUAAUUAGAAAAUUAGAAAAAUCAUUUAAAAAGGUGGGUUUUUUUUUUUUUUGGUUUUUGGUAUGGUUUUUGGAAUGGUUAGCAUAUAAUUAUCAUUAACUGAAGAAAUUGAUGUUUCAGAGUAAAUUAUUUUUAGGUCAACUCCCUUUUCAGGUCUUACAUAUUAAAUAUGCACAUUCAAAGCAACUCUGGUGUAGGACUUACAAAGAAUGAAGUGUGAUGGCCCUUUUUUUAUACUUUAUAAUUUUCUAUUGUGAUUUUUAUUGAAUCAUUUUUAUUUUUUUACCUUUAUUUCUUUGAAUAUAUUUGUUAUGAAGUCUUAUUGAAGGCUUGACUAAUCAGGUAUCUGGGCUCAUACAGAUUUAGUUUUCACUGAAUGCUUUUUUUCCUUUAGUGUAUUUCACUUCCCUAUGUUUUUACAUAUCUAAUAAUUUUUGGUUGACAGUUGGACAUUUUAGGUAGCAUAUUGUAGCAACUCAAUUUUGUCUUAUAUCUAAGGGAUUUGUAUUUUAAAUUUAGCAUUUUGACUGGACUCAAACUGUGGAAUCUAUGUUAUAUAUGAUGUGAAGUCUGCUCUGUGUUUAAAUUCUUUAUUUCAGUAUUUAUUCUUGCUUGCUAGGGGUAGUUCCUGUGUCUGCAUAGCUUAGCAGUCAGCCAAUCAUUUGGACAAAGGUUAAGAUCAAACACUUGAGUCUAGAAGCCUUCCACCCACUGUUGGUUGUUCUGUGUGGGAUGGGGGCUGCAUUCAGUGUAGCAGGCAGUUCCCAAAUCCCCCUUGGUUUUUACAUUUGCCAUGCUCUCUUGAGUCUCCUCUGUGCAUGCAUCAUUUCAGUUUGCCAAACAUGUUUGGAGAGCUCAUGUUACCCUUCUCCGCCCUUCUGUUUCCAGGACCUUGUUAAAUUUCUGGCUGCUCUGUUGCUCUUCAAGAACUAGGACUGUAAUCUUUGGUUAAUAACUACAGAUAUUCCUUGUCCAUUCCUAAGUGAUUUUUUUACUUUUGACUUACCGAGUCGUAGGUUUAUACCUCUGCUGUGAAUCAAGACUCCUCUUACAGCAAAGUUGCUAGUUUUCAGUUAACUACAGCCAGACAAAACUGUAGUUUUUACCGAUCAACCUAGGGGUGGGUGAGACCUCACUCAAGAAGGCCACAGAUUCCAACAAUUCUUUUCCAAAGCUUUAGCAACUUUUUUUUCUUUCUUUUCAUGUUUUUUUCCUUCUUUAUUUCUUUAUUUUUUUUUUUCUGGAGGCAGAGUUUCACUCUU